UACAGAGGUCUCAAGCGUUGUUCGGAUUCAUUGGGCGUAAAGGGUGUGUAGGUGGCGCGCUAAGUCGGGGUGUGAAAUUUCGGAGCUUAACUCCGAAACUGCAUUCGAUACUGGCGUGCUUGAGGACUGGAGAGGAGACUGGAAUUCUCGGUGUAGCAGUGAAAUGCGCAGAUAUCGGGAGGAACACCAAUGGCGAAGGCAGCUUGCUGGGACGGUACUGACGCUGAGGCGCGAAAGCGUGGGGAGCAAACAGG
rnacentral:rRNA from 1 species